rnacentral:rRNA from 1 species
CCCUUAGAUGUUCUGGGCUACACGCGUGCUACAAUGGUGUUUCCAGCAAGUCUGCGAACCCGAGAGGGCCAGCGGAUCUUCGAAUUGGCGUCGUGAUCGGGACAGUCGAUUGCAACUAUUUGACUCAAACGAGGAAUUCCUUGUAAUCGCGAUUCAUCAUAUCGCGCUGAAUACGUCCCUGCCCUUUGUACACACCGCCCGUCGCUCCUACCGAUUGAGCGAUCCGGUAAAUGUUUUGGAUUGGUGCCGGGGCGGCUAGCUGCCGGUCGCUACGAAAUUUUGUGAACCUUAUCGCUUAGAGGAAGGAAAAGUCGUAACA